AAGAGCCGCCGGAUGGUCACUCCGCCGUUGGCGGAGAGGAAAGUCCGAGCUCCCUGGGCAGCGUACCCCGAUAACCUCGGGGCCUCCCCCAGCACCUGUUUGUUCGCCGGAGGCGAAAUCGGGCCUUCGGCCCGCAAACAGGUGGUGGGGGGGCGGAUUAGAGCCACAGAGACGAGUAGUCCCACCGAGAGGCGGGAUGACGUGAAACGCGGCAAUCUCUACGCGGAGCAAGGCCAAACGUCCCAUCCUGCAUCCUUGUGGUGCGGGGCAGAUCGCCCUCUGCAGGGGAAGGUAGGCCGCAGGAGCUUGGUGGCAACAUCAAGCCUAGAUGGAUGGCCAUCGUCUCCUUCGCCUCGCCUCGCGGUGGGGUUUCGGAGCACACAAAACUCGGCUUAUAGGCGGCUCUUUGGU
rnacentral:RNase_P_RNA from 1 species